GUGCUUGCUUUUGGCAGCACAUAUACUAAAAUUGGAAAGACACAGAGAAGAUCAGCAUGGCCCCUGUCAAGGAUAACACACAAAUUUGUGAAGUGCUCCAAAUUUGA